rnacentral:rRNA from 1 species
GACGAACGCUGGCGGCGUGCCUAAUACAUGCAAGUAGAACGCACAGUUUAUACCGUAGCUUGCUACACCAUAGACUGUGAGUUGCGAACGGGUGAGUAACGCGUAGGUAACCUGCCUGGUAGCGGGGGAUAACUAUUGGUAACGAUAGCUAAUACCGCAUAAUAUUAAUUAUUGCAUGAUAAUUAAUUGAAAGGUGCAAUUGCACCACUACCAGAUGGACCUGCGUUGUAUUAGCUAGUAGGUGAGGUAACGGCUCACCUAGGCGACGAUACAUAGCCGACCGGAGAGGGUGGGCGGCCGCACUGAGACUGAGACACGGCCCAUACGCCUACGGGAGGCAGCAGGAGGGAUUCUUCGGCAAUGGGCGAAAGUCUGACCGAGCAACGCCGCGGGAGGGAGGAAGGUUUUCGGAUCGGAAAGCUCGGUUGUAAGAUAAGAACGGAUUUGAGAGUGUAAAGUUCACACUGUGACGGUAUCUUACCAGAAAGGGACGGCUAACUACGUG